UACAGGGGGGGCAAGCGUUGUUCGGAAUUACUGGGCGUAAAGCGUGCGCAGGCGGUUGUGUAAGACAGAUGUGAAAUCCCCGGGCUCAACCUGGGAACUGCAUUUGUGACUGCACAGCUGGAGUGCGGCAGAGGGGGAUGGAAUUCCGCGUGUAGCAGUGAAAUGCGUAGAUAUGCGGAGGAACACCGAUGGCGAAGGCAAUCCCCUGGGCCUGCACUGACGCUCAUGCACGAAAGCGUGGGGAGCAAACAGG
rnacentral:rRNA from 1 species